ACCAGGUGAUUAACUAGAUAAAAUAAAUUUUUUGUUGUUUUAAAAUGUUUUCAAGUUCUUUUGCUGUGACAAGGACGGGAAAAUUUCUAUUAAAAAAGAUCGAUAUUAAUGAUCGAAUCAUUGACAUGACAUGGUCGACAGGGGCCUGUUAUAUAAUCACAUUCACAGUAACGACUCCAGUAGCACAUGAGCCGGAGGGGAAGAAGGGAAAACUAUACAUCAGAAUGAAGUUUGACCAGUGUAAAACAUAUGUUUGCAUUUUGACAUAGUAAGGAGUGACGUCCUCUUUUCCAGGGAUGCUCUUGCGUUCGGCCCUAAACCUAUAUCGCUUUUAAAUCCUGCUUUCUUUUUAAUCCGGGGUAGGUUUUUAGUAUUUCGGCAUUUAUCCGCCUUGUUCGAGAAUUGGUUAACACGGUGAAAGUGUCCAAGACUUUCACGCACACUACAAACCGUUUCAGCCGUUUGAGAAAAGAAAAAAAAUCACGUUCUUCCGAUUCUCCUUUAGGUCCGAUGUGUGCGAGACGGCCUCAAGACCUAUUGGGCUCCGAAUCCGUUCGACUUGAUUCAUUAGGAAGGCGAGUGUUUUUCUUUCAAAAUAUGGGCUAACGAAAAAAGUUUUCGAUAUGGCUGUUGUUAUUGAAACGACGUUGGGUGACAUCACGGUCGAUCUGUAUACAGAUGAAAGACCACAAACAUGCAAGAACUUCCUCAAGCUGUGCAAAG